GAUCCAGGUCCAAAACUGUUGACCUUGACUUGUAAUUUGCUUCUGAACACGUUUAGAUCAACAGGUUUGGGCCUGUGUCUU